UACGGAGGAUGCAAGUGUUAUCCGGAAUCACUGGGCGUAAAGCGUCUGUAGGUGGUUUAAAAAGUCUAUGGUUAAAAAUUGAAGCUUAACUUCAAAGAUGCCCUAGAAACUUUUAGACUAGAGUAUGGUAGGGGUAGAGGGAAUUUCCAGUGGAGCGGUGAAAUGCGUAGAUAUUGGAAAGACCACCAAUGGCGAAGGCACUCUACUGGGCCACUACUGACACUGAGAGACGAAAGCUAGGGGAGCAAAUGGG
rnacentral:rRNA from 1 species